rnacentral:rRNA from 1 species
CCCUACGGGACGCAGCAGUGAGGAAUAUUGGUCAAUGGGCUUACGCCUGAACCAGCCAAGUCGCGUGAGGGAAGACUGCCCUAUGGGUUGUAAACCUCUUUUGUCAGGGAGCAAUUGGAGCUACGUGUAGCGUUAUCGAGAGUACCUGAAGAAAAAGCAUCGGCUAACUCCGUGCCAGCAGCCGCGGUAAUACGGAGGAUGCGAGCGUUAUCCGGAUUUAUUGGGUUUAAAGGGUGCGUAGGCGGAAUGCCAAGUCAGCGGUAAAAUCGCGGGGCUCAACCUCGCUCCGCCGUUGACACUGGCGU